UUACCUACGGGGGGCAGCAGUGAGGAAUAUUGGUCAAUGGUCGGGAGACUGAACCAGCCAAGCCGCGUGAGGGAGGAAGGUACAGAGUAUCGUAAACCUCUUUUGUCAGGGAACAAAGGCGGGGACGUGUCCCCGGAUGAGUGUACCUGAAGAAAAAGCAUCGGCUAACUCCGUGCCAGCAGCCGCGGUAAUACGGAGGAUGCGAGCGUUAUCCGGAUUUAUUGGGUUUAAAGGGUGCGCAGGCGGCGAGUUAAGUCAGCGGUAAAAUUUCGGGGCUCAACCCCGACAAGCCGUUGAAACUGGCU
rnacentral:rRNA from 1 species